GUCCCUGUAGCGCAAUGGAUAGCCCUUUGGACUUCUAAUCCAAAGUGCGUGAGUUCGAAUCCCACCAGGGAUG
rnacentral:tRNA from 1 species